ensembl:misc_RNA 7SK 7SK RNA
GGAACUGAGGGUGACCUGGCUAUGAUCGCUGUCACCCAGAUUGCCAGGGUUGAUAUUGGUUGAUGCAGCUGGCCAGGUGGGUGUCCCCUUCCUCCCUCAACAUACCAUGUGUGCCCUUCCCACUUGUGUCCCUAACGUGCUUGGGUGAAGAGGACAAGUAUCCCUGAUUGAGGGCUGUUCUGGGUCAAGGGCAUCCAAGCAUCUGCUUUUCCUGGCUAGAAGCUCCAAACAAACUCUCAAGGAAGGGGCCUCCCGUCCCCACACUCUCCCACUUACAGCUCAGGCCAGACCCAAGCAGGCAGGCCAGGCU